rnacentral:rRNA from 1 species
AAUGAACGUUGGCGGCGUGGAUUAGGCAUGCAAGUCGUGCGGAAAGGCCCCGCAAGGGGUACUCGAGCGGCGAAAGGGAUAGUAAUGCGUAGAUUACCUACCCCCGGGACCCGGAUAGCUGCGGGAAACUGCAAUUAAUACGGGAUGACGUCUGCGGACCAAAGGUGUGAUUCCGCCCGGAGACGGGUCUGCGUCCUAUUAGCUUGUUGGUGAGGUAACGGCUCACCAAGGCAACGAUGGGUAGCGGGUGUGAGAGCACGACCCGCAUCACUGGGACUGAGACACUGCCCAGACACCUACGGGUGGCGGCAGUCGAGGAUCUUCGGCAAUGGGCAAAAGCCUGACCGAGCGACGCCGCGUGUGGGAUGAAGGCCCUCGGGUUGUAAACCACUGUCAGAGGAGAGGAAGUGUUGGGGGGAUCACCCCUCAGCUUGACCUAUCCUCAAAGGAAGGACGGGCUAAGUUCGUGCCAGCCGCCGCGGUAA